rnacentral:lncRNA from 1 species
AAGUGUUCUUAGAUCAGAAUCCCUUAAUCUCUCCCUUUCUUAGUCUCUAAUCUUUUAAUCUCUCAAAGUCUUUUGUUUCUGAUCUGAGUUAACACUUGAUCACUCAUAAACACUUCCACUAAUCUAUCUCUCUCUAAAUCGCCUACAAACUCUCUCUCUGCCCUAUUGGGAUUCACACAAACACACAGCCUGAGAUCUCUGAAAAUCUCAUAUGGUAUCAGAGCCAGGUUCAUCUGAAUCUGGUUCUUAGCUUCCGCAAAGCUCACAUGCUCCUCUCAUGUCGUUUUGAAACCAAGAAGAAGCUUAGAUGAUCCAGCCGGCUGUUCAACAUCUCAAGUGGAAGAUGGGUUCAUCCCUGGUGUCCAGAAGCUGUAUGUGGUCGUUUCUCACCCUCUCAUGACGCCCAUGAAGAAAGAAGGCUCUUGGAAACAAGGCAGGAAGUGGUCUGAUCAACCAAGCUUCAAAGCUUUAUCCAAGCUGUUUCUUAUUCACUGUCCAAGAAGAAAGGUGAUAGCUUUCAUCUGGUACUGGUGUGGCGAGUGUAACAUGAAGAAAGGUGGGGUCUUUGACAUGGAGAGUUCAAGAGAAAGGUCCUUGGAAGAAGGAGAAGUUAGGGUCGACACCAACAGCUCACUGUCUUGCCAUGUUCUAUGGAGUUUCAAGGAACUAACACUAGUUCCUUGGCUGUAAGAAACCUCUCUCUCUUGUUUAAAACUUGUGUAUGUGAACUGAAUAAUGUAUUAAACAGGUUGUGAUGUUGUGAUGUGAUUGAUAACCUGAGGAUGUGUUUAAAGAUUUCUAGAUAUGAAAUGUUUAGAAUCUGUCCCAGGAUGCUUAAAAAGAGUUGUUUGGUGACUGAGAAUUGUUGCUUGAAUCUGGUUCAUAAUGAAUGUAUGUUAGGGAGUUAGUAGUAUUGUCUAAACCUGAUUGCUUUCAUGAAUUGAAACCGAGCUUAAAGUGGAGUGUAGAGUGUUGUUGCUGCCUUAGGUUGAUGCACUUUGAUUCAAGUCUAAGAUGCAGUUAAGGCAGAAGUUAAAAAUGCCUAAGUAGCUUGCAUAAAUCUGGAAAAGAAAGUGCUUGUGCUUAGAGAGUUUGCUUGCAAAGAUUAGAACUUGAAAAUGACUUGUUUAAUCUGUUGCAAUGCUUGUGAUAUUGGGAAUCAAACUUGAUGAUUAAUC